rnacentral:rRNA from 1 species
UACAGAGGGUGCGAGCGUUGUCCGGAAUCACUGGGCGUAAAGGGCGCGUAGGUGGCUUGUUAAGCGUGUGGUGAAAGCCUGGGGCUCAACCCCAGGUCUGCCGUGCGAACUGGCAAGCUUGAGCGUAGUAGAGGCAGGUGGAAUUUCGGGUGUAGCGGUGGAAUGCGUAGAUAUCCGAAAGAACACCGGUGGCGAAGGCGGCCUGCUGGGCUACUGCUGACACUGAUGCGCGGACAGCGUGGGGAGCAAACAGG